UGAGCUUCCCUAGGAAGUACCUAACUGCCUCACAACCUAAUUGAUGUGAGAUAACCGUAUAAAGGCUGGUGACGUCGCAAGUCACUAGCAAAAGGUCAUCUGACCAUUGAAUGCAUUAGAUCUUCUUAGUGGUGGGCGGUAGUGCCUAGUUGUGGAGGAGUUCCUUCUGAUCUAUUUCUAUAUGUAUGGAAGGGUAAGUGUCUAUCAAACUUCUGUAUUCCCUUGUCC